GAUGAACGCUGGCGGCGUGCCUAAUACAUGCAAGUCGAACGAAACUUCUUUAUCACCGAGUGCUUGCACUCACCGAUAAAGAGUUGAGUGGCGAACGGGUGAGUAACACGUGGGCAACCUGCCCAAAAGAGGGGGAUAACACUUGGAAACAGGUGCUAAUACCGCAUAACCAUAGUUACCGCAUGGUAACUAUGUAAAAGGUGGCUAUACUACCGCUUUUGGAUGGGCCCGCGGCGCAUUAGCUAGUUGGUAGGGUAAAGGCUUACCAAGGCAAUGAUGCGUAGCCGAAUUGAGAGGUUGAUCGGCCACAUUGGGACUGAGACACGGCCCAAACUCCUACGGGAGGCAGCAGUAGGGAAUCUUCCACAAUGGGCGAAAGCCUGAUGGAGCAAUGCCGCGUGGGUGAAGAAGGUCUUCGGAUCGUAAAACCCUGUUGUUAGAGAAGAAAGUGCGUGAGAGUAACUGUUCACGUUUCGACGGUAUCUAACCGGAAAGCCACGGCUAACUACGU
rnacentral:rRNA from 1 species